AUGAACGCUAGCUACAGGCUUAACACAUGCAAGUCGAGGGGCAGCAUGAACUUAGCUUGCUAAGUUUGAUGGCGACCGGCGCACGGGUGAGUAACACGUAUCCAACCUGCCGAUGACUCGGGGAUAGCCUUUCGAAAGAAAGAUUAAUACCCGAUGGCAUAGUUCUUCCGCAUGGUAGAACUAUUAAAGAAUUUCGGUCAUCGAUGGGGAUGCGUUCCAUUAGGUUGUUGGCGGGGUAACGGCCCACCAAGCCUUCGAUGGAUAGGGGUUCUGAGAGGAAGGUCCCCCACAUUGGAACUGAGACACGGUCCAAACUCCUACGGGAGGCAGCAGUGAGGAAUAUUGGUCAAUGGACGAGAGUCUGAACCAGCCAAGUAGCGUGAAGGAUGACUGCCCUAUGGGUUGUAAACUUCUUUUAUACGGGAAUAAAGUGAGGCACGUGUGCCUUUUUGUAUGUACCGUAUGAAUAAGGAUCGGCUAACUCCGUGCCAGCAGCCGCGGUAAUACGGAGGAUCCGAGCGUUAUCCGGAUUUAUUGGGUUUAAAGGGAGCGUAGGCGGACGCUUAAGUCAGUUGUGAAAGUUUGCGGCUCAACCGUAAAAUUGCAGUUGAUACUGGGUGUCUUGAGUACAGUAGAGGCAGGCGGAAUUCGUGGUGUAGCGGUGAAAUGCUUAGAUAUCACGAAGAACUCCGAUUGCGAAGGCAGCUUGCUGGACUGUAACUGACGCUGAUGCUCGAAAGUGUGGGUAUCAAACAGGAUUAGAUACCCUGGUAGUCCACACAGUAAACGAUGAAUACUCGCUGUUUGCGAUAUACAGUAAGCGGCCAAGCGAAAGCGUUAAGUAUUCCACCUGGGGAGUACGCCGGCAACGGUGAAACUCAAAGGAAUUGACGGGGGCCCGCACAAGCAGUGGAGUAUGUGGUUUAAUUCGACGCAACGCGAAGAACCUUACCAAGGCUUGACAUAUACAGGAAUAUAUAAGAGAUUAUAUAGCUCUUCGGAGUCUGUAUACAGGUGGUGCAUGGUUGUCGUCAGCUCGUGUCGUGAGAUGUUGGGUUAAGUCCCGCAACGAGCGCAACCCUUACUGUCAGUUACUACGCAAGAGGACUCUGGCAGGACUGCCGUUGACAAAACGGAGGAAGGUGGGGAUGACGUCAAAUCAUCAUGCCCUUUAUGUCUUGGGCUACACACGUACUACAAUGGCUAUAACAAAGAGAAGCGAGACAGUGAUGUGGAGCAAAACUCAAAAAAAUAGUCUCAGUUCGGAUUGAAGGCUGAAAUUCGCCUUCAUGAAGCUGGAAUUGCUAGUAAUGGCAGGUCAGCAUACUGCCGUGAAUACGUUCCCGGGCCUUGUACACACCGCCCGUCACACCAUGGGAGUUGGUAACGCCCGAAGUCAGUGACCCAACCUUUUAGGAGGGAGCUGCCGAAGGCGGGACUGAUAACUGGGGUG
rnacentral:rRNA from 1 species